rnacentral:tRNA from 1 species
GUCGCUUUGGAUGAGUGGUUAAGGCAUGUGCCUCCUAAGUACAUGGGGUUUCCUCGUGAGAGUUCGAAUCUCUUAGUCGAUG